AAAAGGAGGGAGAAGUUAUAGAGCAUUUGUUAAUAGAAAUAGAUUUUAGUAACAAUAUGAAUAUUUCAUUAAAUUUCAAAUUUAUAUUAGAAAUAGGUUUAGGUCAUGGCCAUUCCCUCUAUGUAUUUAUUUAAAUAUUGUAAAUGGAUAAGCAUUUAAAUCACUGAAAGCAUUUUAGUUUGUUUCAAAUAUACAUUAUCUGAUAAUCUUCAGCCAGUUAAUGAAUGGGACAUAUACUAAAUUCACCCUAACCCUCUUUAAAAAUAAGUUUUAAGAUGAUGAACACUAAAGAUUGUCAACCAUUUAAAAAAUAUGGCCUAUAUUAUUUUUUUAAGUGUUUUUCUCUAAAUCUAUUCAAACUUCUUAGGAACAGUCAACAUUCCUACACAAAAUGGUGUUUUAAAGCAACUCUCAAAAUCUGAAGCACCGAAGGGUAAUUUUGUUAAUCCAUCAUCCUACUUCUUGCUUAACAGCAAUUUAUUUCAGACAUCCAAAUACAAUUUAUUAAUUUCUAAUACAAAAGCCCCAAAAUUCCUAACUUACAGAAAACAUUCCAAAUGUUCCUACCUUUACUAUUUCAUGUUGAGUCAUGAGGAAUAAAGGGGCUCUAUAGGCAUUAGAAAUGUCACAAUUAGAAAAGAAUGUGGUAUUCUGAACCUUUUAUCAUUUGGAAACUGAUGGGAAUUUGUCUUAGUGUAGUAUAUUCAAAAUACUGUUUUUAAAAAAAACCAGCAUUGGGGAGUCUAAAGAUUACUGCCAAGUUUCACAAAGCUUUCUUGUUUUCUCUAUGACCAUAUCAAAUUGAAUACCUUACAGAACAAUUUCUAGCGAACAAUUCAUAUUGUGUGUUUUUUAACUUUUUAAAUAUAUUUUUAUUGAUUUCAGAGAAGAAGGGAUAGGGAGAGAGA